GUGUAGCUCAGUGGUAGAGUGCUUGCCUAGCAUGCUCGAGGACCUGGGUUCUAUCCCCAGCAC
rfam:Rattus norvegicus chromosome X, whole genome shotgun sequence.